GUACACUCCUACGGGAGGCAGCAGUAGGGAAUCUUCGGCAAUGGGGGCAACCCUGACCGAGCAACGCCGCGUGAGUGAAGAAGGUUUUCGGAUCGUAAAGCUCUGUUGUAAGUCAAGAACGAGUGUGAGAGUGGAAAGUUCACACUGUGACGGUAGCUUACCAGAAAGGGACGGCUAACUACGUGCCAGCAGCCGCGGUAAUACGUAGGUCCCGAGCGUUGUCCGGAUUUAUUGGGCGUAAAGCGAGCGCAGGCGGUUUGAUAAGUCUGAAGUUAAAGGCUGUGGCUCAACCAUAGUUCGCUUUGGAAACUGUCAAACUUGAGUGCAGAAGGGGAGAGUGGAAUUCCAUGUGUAGCGGUGAAAUGCGUAGAUAUAUGGAGGAACACCGGUGGCGAAAGCGGCUCUCUGGUCUGUAACUGACGCUGAGGCUCGAAAGCGUGGGGAGCGAACAGGAUUAGAAACCCUGGUAGUCCCA
rnacentral:rRNA from 1 species